AUUGAACGCUGGCGGCAGGCCUAGCACAUGCAAGUCGAACGAGUGGCGGAAGGGUUGGUAAUGUCUGUGAAACUGCCUGAUGGAUGGGGUUAACUACUGGAAACUAUAGCUACUACCGCAUACCAUCAGAUGUGCCCAGGUGGGAUGAGCUAGGUGUUGGGGUAACGGCUUACCAAGACGACGAUCCCUAGCUGGUCUGAGAGGAUGACCAGCCACACUGGAACUGGGACACGGUCCAGACUCCUACGGGAGGCAGCAGUGGGGAAUAUUGGACAAUGGGCGAAAGCCUGAUGCAGCCAUGCCGCGUGUAUGAAGAAGGCCUUCGGAUUGUAAAGUACUUUAAGCUGGGAGGCGUUACCAGCAGAAGAAGCACCGGCUAACUCCGUGCCAGCAGCCGCGGUAAUAC
rnacentral:rRNA from 1 species